ACAAAUAUUAGGAACAAUAUUCUGUGAUAAUUUUAUAGCAACAGUGUUAUACGCGUAAUAUAUAAUAAUAUGCCCUGUGUACGUUUUAAGCUGUUGCGCGGGUGUCCGUCGGUAGUCGCUCGCUUUUCGCUCGAUUUUUUUUGAGUGAAAAUGACUUUUGCUUGCACAGACUCUACCAUAAUCAACGCCAUGAUAGCAUAAUCAGUGCACACCGUGGCGCCCUGAGGAGGUAUCGAUACUUUUAGCAUUGAGAUAUUCUGGAGGCCUGUCCAAUCAUCGUGACAUUGCAACUAUGGAAAUUAUCUAUCAUACAAAUCUGUAAAAAAAGGCCCUUGAAUAAACUUGCGAAAACUAAGAAUCUAUUGAGGAUUAGUCAG